UCCAUCACUUUUUUCAUAGAUUUUUCGCUUCUCUUCAUCUUCCCAACAACAGUAGUAGCAAUAGAAGAAGAAAAUUUUCCAGUUGGAGGUAGAAUUUGAGUUUGAUAAUAGGAUUUGAGAUUCUUCUUGGCUUGAUUAUGAAGUAAUCUUAAAGGAUAAUUCCACCUGCAAACUCCUUGAUCUUUCAGUACCUCAAUUGCUCCAAUGCUUGCUGCCACAAAGAUCGGCGAUGGCG
rnacentral:lncRNA from 1 species